rnacentral:rRNA from 1 species
GAUGAACGCUGGCGGCGUGCCUAAUACAUGCAAGUCGAGCGAACGGACGAGACGCUUGCUUCUCUGAUGUUAGCGGCGGACGGGUGAGUAACACGUGGAUAACCUACCUAUAAGACUGGGAUAACUUCGGGAAACCGGAGCUAAUACCGGAUAAUAUUUUGAACCGCAUGGUUCAAAAGUGAAAGACGGUCUUGCUGUUACUUAUAGAUGGAUCCGCGCUGCAUUAGCUAGAUGGUAAGGUAACGGCUUACCAAGGCAACGAUGGCUAGCCGACCUGAGAGGGUGAGCGCCCACCACGGAACUGGGACACGGUCCAGUCUCCUACGGGAGGCACCCGUAGGGAAUCUUCCACACUGGGCGAAAGCCUGCCGGAGCAACGCCGCGUGAGUGAUGCAGGUCUUCGGAUCGUAGAACUCUGUUAUUAGGGAAGAACAUAUGUGUAAGUAACUGUGCACAUCUUGACGUUCCCUAAUCAGAAAGCCACGGCUAACUACGUG